rnacentral:lncRNA from 1 species
AAUAGAUAGUGUAAUAGUUGAAGUUCAUAACAAUUGAUUGCCUGUUGUUCAUAUAAUUUAAACUCGCUAAGAGCUACCUUUACUAUUUUAGGAGAAGGAAGAUGCUAAUUCGAGGUCCAGAAGACGGACUUGGCUUAGCUAGACAAGAAUUAGCUAUAGAGUACAAGUCAAGUCUCGAGUCAAAUUUCCCACCUCUGACAAUAAUUGACCACUAUACUUUAAAUUAUAUUUAAUCAAUCAUAAACUCAUCUUCUCUUUGGUGGGCUAUUAAAAAAAACUAGGUUAAUAGAAAUCCAUGUUUUUCUAUUAACUUUGCAAAAAAAAAAAUCGAAGAAUAAAAUAAUUUAUUCAUUCCCCACAGAAGUUUUAGAGUGUGAGUGACGCUUAGAGUUGUAUUAAAUGCUAUUUAAAAUGAGAGUCCGGAUUUUAACCGUUGUUACCUAAUUCAAGGAGUGUUCCCUACUUUAAAGAUAUGUUUUUAUUUAUAAAAGAUAUCAUCAUUAUUCUUUUUUAUCUAUCUCAUCACAAACCAAAGUCAAUGGAGUCCAAAAGUAAAUUAAUGUUGUCAAAGAUUAAGGAAGAACUUUUGGGAGAUGAUAUCUUGCCUUAGACGGGACUACAAGUAGAUCCAGGCAUUGCUUAUUUUUAAUGGACACAAAGCAUGAGAACUUGUACUAGGAACUCGAAAAACCCUGCAUGAUUACUUAGGGCCAGAAAAAUCCCGACCAUAAUGACCUAGACUUCACCUAAACCAUGGAAUUUUGCAACUUGUUUAAAAAUUCAUCCCUAAAUACCU